UUCUCUUCUUCAUGUUCUCUCCAUUGCUCAUUUAAUUAAGUGUAAAUUCAGUUUUUGUUAUAAUAGAUCUGGAAGCCUUACUCGAUUUCAGGAGUUUUCUGAAUUUUGUUAUUACUAUCACUUGUAUAGCCCCUGGAGAUAUAUGAGUUCGUGGUUUUGAUUUUGAUAGAAAAGAGUAUUGCGAGGAAAAGAUCCGCUUUUCACCAGCAUUGCUGCAGCUGAUGCAGAAAUCAUCCAUUCUUCUAAAGAAUGGACUUACUGCUAUUCUCAUUUCAGAUAAAGAAUCAUCCUCAUCAGCUGCAGCGAUGCUUGUGAAAGCAGAUCUUUUCGAGAUCCUUAUGCUCAAGGUUUGGCGCAUCUUCUUGAACACAUGGUUUUUGAAGGUUCAAAACUAUAUCCGGACGGCGAUGAGAUCUCUGAAACUGCUUCUUGCUUGUGUUUGACAACUGUCAAGAACGAAGACAAGCUUGAGUUCAGCAAGAUUCUUGAGGCAUGGCAAUUGUUAUUGGUCUAUGCAUAUGCGUUAUGACUCUAUGAAGAAAUAGAGAUUUCACACAAAGCCAAAAAAGGCUUUAAGGUGAUCUGGAAUGGCGUUAGGCUGUUAAAUGGUAUGAGUUGGAGAUCUACUAGAGCUGCUUUGGUUUCUUAUUUGGUUUGGUGAAGAAAUGUAUUUGCGUUCUUUUUCUUUGAGUGUGAUUCAAGCAUUUGUAUCUUUUGGAUAUUUGAUAGAUUGAUUCUAUGUAAAAUGUAUGUUUUAUAUAUUUAAUGUAAUAUUAAUUUUAUUUAUGAA